rnacentral:lncRNA from 1 species
CUGAACCUCGUUAAAAUUCUGGUGUUCUUUAUUAUUUAUUUUUGCAUAUUUUUUUAGUGUGAUUGUAGUGAUUUAUUGUGCUAUUAAAUUACGAUAAAGGGAUAUUCUGGCUAGGAAAGACCUGGUACUUAAGUGAUCCUCGUGAUCCACCUCUCUUUCCUGGUAAUUGAACUUAGUGUGAUUUUUUAGUACAAUAAUUUUACUCUUUUAC